AGACAUUACAGACAUUAUUGACACCACUAAACCUACGCUCCAUGAGUCCACUAGCACAAGAACAAAGUGUAUCUACUGAAAUUGGUGGCAAAGCAGAAUCACCAAUACUCCCACAAGCAAAGUUCGAAACUGACUCAGAGCCUAACAGAAGAGGUAAUGUACCAAACUGAAUUUCCACCACGGUACUAAACUUGUCCAAAUGUCUCUGAACUGGUUC
rnacentral:lncRNA from 1 species